GACAGAGGGGGCAAGCGUUGUCCGGAUUGACUGGGCGUACAGCGCGCGCAGGCGGCAUGCGACGUGCCCUGUGACAGGCGGGAGCUCAACUCCGACGGCCAGGGUAGACGCGCAGGCUAGAGGCAGGGAGAGGGCAGUGGAAUACCCGGAUGGAGCGGUGAAAUGCGUAGAGAGUCGGGUGGAACACCAGGGGCGAAGGCGG
rnacentral:rRNA from 1 species